rnacentral:rRNA from 1 species
ACGAACGCUGGCGGCGUGCUUAACCCAUGCAAGUCGCACGGAAAGGCCCUGCUUUUGUGGGGUGCUCGAGUGGCGAACGGGUGAGUAACACGUGAGUAACCUGCCCUUGACUUUGGGAUAACUUCAGGAAACUGGGGCUAAUACCGGAUAGGAGCUCCUGCUGCAUGGUGGGGGUUGGAAAGUUUCGGCGGUUGGGGAUGGACUCGCGGCUUAUCAGCUUGUUGGUGGGGUAGUGGCUUACCAAGGCUUUGACGGGUAGCCGGCCUGAGAGGGUGACCGGCUACAUUGGGACUGAGAUACGGCCCAGACUCCUACGGGAGGCAGCAGUGGGGAAUAUUGCACAAUGGGCGGAAGCCUGAUGCAGCAACGCCGCGUGCGGGAUGACGGCCUUCGGGUUGUAAACCGCUUUCGCCUGUGACGAAGCGUGAGUGACGGUAAUGGGUAAAGAAGCACCGGCUAACUACGUG